CCUCUUCCCAAAGCGUCGUUUGCCCCUUAUAUGGAUGGGGCCGGUGCAAGCCGGCUAUGACACUAAACCUCACGCGGAAUAAGCGUUGCGGACCCGGGGGCGGUACCCGGCGCCUCCACCAUUUCCGGCUUUCGGGCGGGAUCUGGGGGCGAAAUAGGAUCGACGUGCGUGGUAAAGGCCUGAGCUGUGUUCGGCAUGGUACCCACCGUUAUCGGGCCAACUCUGACAAGUGCCAACGACAACGUUGAACUUGCCGCUGCGGCGUAAAACACCGUAAGCGCGGUUCGGGGGGGCACCGGGCAACAGAAGCCCCCCCACU
rfam:Rhodospirillum photometricum DSM 122 draft genome sequence